CCCGCUUGUUUCGGAUUCUUGGGCGUAAGGGUGCGUAGGCGGCGCGGUAAGUCGGGUGUGAAAUCUCGGAGCUUAACUCCGAAACUGCAUUCGAUACUGCCGUGCUUGAGGACUGGAGAGGAGACUGGAAUUUACGGUGUAGCGGUGAAAUGCGUAGAUAUCGUAAGGAAGACCAGUGGCGAAGGCGGGUCUCUGGACAGUUCCUGACGCUGAGGCACGAAGGUCAGGGGAGCAAACGGGAUUAGAUACCCCGGUAGUCCUGACAGUAAACGGUGCACGUUUGGUGUGGGAGGAUUCGACCCCUUCUGCGCCGGAGCUAACGCGUUAAACGUGCCGCCUGGGGAGUACGGUCGCAAGAUUAAAACUCAAAGAAAUUGACGGGGGCCCGCACAAGCGGUGGAGUAUGUGGCUCAAUUCGAUGCAACGCGAAGAACCUUACCAGGCCUUGACAUGCAUCUCUAAGUUGGUGAAAGCCAGCGAGUCCCGAAAGGGACAAUUUGCACAGGUGCUGCAUGGCUGUCGUCAGCUCGUGUCGUGAGAUGUUGGGUUAAGUCCCGCAACGAGCGCAACCCUUGUCAUUAGUUGCUACGAAAGGGCACUCUAAUGAGACUGCCGGUGACAAACCGGAGGAAGGUGGGGAUGACGUCAAGUCCUCAUGGCCCUUAUGGGUAGGGCUUCACACGUCAUACAAUGGUACAUACAGAGGGCCGCCAACCCGCGAGGGGGAGCUAAUCCCAGAAAGUGUAUCGUAGUCCGGAUUGUAGUCUGCAACUCGACUACAUGAAGUUGGAAUCGCUAGUAAUCGCGGAUCAGCAUGUCGCGGUGAAUACGUUCCCGGGUCUUGUACACACCGCCCGUCACACCAUGGGAGCGGGUUUUACCAGAAGUAGGUAGCUUAACCGCAAGGGGGGCGCUUACCACGGUAGGAUUCGUGACUGGGGUGAAGUCGUAACAAGGUAAC
rnacentral:rRNA from 1 species